rnacentral:rRNA from 1 species
UACAGAGACUGCAAGCGUUAUUCGGAUUCACUGGGCGUAAAGGGUGCGCAGGCGGCCAAGUGUGUGAGGCGUGAAAGCCUGGAGCUUAACUCCAGAAUUGCACCUCAAACUACAUGGCUAGAAUCAUGGAGAGGUUAGUGGAAUUCCGAGUGUAGAGGUGAAAUUCGUAGAUAUUCGGAAGAACACCAGUGGCGAAGGCGACUAACUGGACAUGUAUUGACGCUGAGGUGCGAAAGCGUGGGGAGCAAACAGG